AGACCACUCCUCCAUGCACACAAUGCUGCGUAUAUUGACAAACGCGGUGGCCACCGCCACCAGCAGCAUCUCAGUGAUCGCCUCACAGCGCCCCGUCUUCCCGCCUAAACCGUGAGGUGAACACAGAAAUGUAAACAGGCGGCCAUGGCACUCUAUAGGUGCCCGACUGAGUCUAUGGUUGCUGCUGAUCUAUUCCGGAUUCUUUGCAGACACUUCCUAUUUACUCUAAAAGGGGGACAUUCUGAACUAGUAUUGGCAGCAAUAAACCAUGCAAGAGACAGGGACACCCCGGAACAGUCCAAACAGAAGCACAGAGCUGUGUGUCUCGUGUCUGGGGGGAAUU